CAUAUCUAACGGAGAUUCGUCGAAGCUGGAUAUGACUUAGUGGCGGACGGGUGAGUAAUGUAUGAGCAACCUGCCUUUCAGAGGGGGACAACAGUUGGAAACGACUGCUAAUACCGCAUAACGUAUUUGGGUGGCAUCACCUGGAUACCAAAGGAGCAAUCCGCUAGAAAGAUGGGCUCAUAUCUGAUUAGCUUGUUGGCGGGGUAACGGCCCACCAAGGCGACGAUCAGUAGCCGGACUGAGAGGUUGAACGGCCACAUUGGGACUGAGAUACGGCCCAGACUCCUACGGGAGGCAGCAGUGGGGAAUAUUGGGCAAUGGGCGAAAAACGCCUGACCCAGCAACGCCGCGUGAAGGAAGAAGGUCUUCGGAUUGUAAACUUCUUUUAUGAGGGACGAAGGACGUGACGGUACCUCAUGAAUAAGCCACGGCUAACUACGUGCCAGCCGCCGC
rnacentral:rRNA from 1 species